GAUGACCUAAUGAGUUCCAAACCCACAACCAACACCCAUACAUGACCUAAUAAGGUCCAAACCCACAACCAACACCCAUACAUGACCUAACGAGCUCCAAACUAACAUUUAUACAUGACCUAAUGAGAUCCAAACCCACAACCAACACCCAUACAUGACCUAAUAAGGUCCAAACCCACUACCAACACCCAUACAUGACCUAAUGAGGUCCAAACCCACAACCAACACCAAAAGAUGACCUGAUGAGGUCCAAACCCACAACCAACACCCGUACAUGACCUAAUGAGGUCAAACCCACAACCAACAUCCAUACAUGACCUAAUCAGGUCCAUACCCACAACCAACACUCGUACAUGACCUAAUGAGGUCCAAACCCACAACCGACACCUACACAUGACCUACUGAGAUCCAAACCCACAAACGACACCCGUACAUGACCUAAUCAGGUCCAAACCCAUAACCAACUCCAGUACAUGACCUAAUGAGGACCAAACCCACAACCAACACCCAUACGAGACCUAAUGACGUCAAAACCCACAACCAACACCCAUACAUGACCUAAUGAGGUCCAAACCCAUAACCAACACCAAAUGAUGACCUGAUGAGGUCUAAACUCAC
rnacentral:lncRNA from 1 species